rnacentral:rRNA from 1 species
GACCAGACUCCUACGGGAGGCAGCAGUGGGGAAUAUUGGGCAAUGGGCGCAAGCCUGACCCAGCAACGCCGCGUGAAGGAAGAAGGCUUUCGGGUUGUAAACUUCUUUUGUCAGGGACGAAGCAAGUGACGGUACCUGACGAAUAAGCCACGGCUAACUACGUGCCAGCAGCCGCGGUAAUACGUAGGUGGCAAGCGUUAUCCGGAUUUAUUGGGUGUAAAGGGCGUGUAGGCGGGAAUGCAAGUCAGAUGUGAAAUCCCGCGGCUCAACCGCGGAACUGCAUUUGAAACUGUUUUUCUUGAGUACCGGAGAGGUCAUCGGAAUUCCUUGUGUAGCGGUGAAAUGCGUAGAUAUAAGGAAGAACACCAGUGGCGAAGGCGGAUGACUGGACGGCAACUGACGGUGAGGCGCGAAAGCGUGGGGAGCAAACAGGAUUAGAUACCCGAGUACAC